UAGGGAGACCAACUGAAAUUAACCUAAUCCACUUUCACGGUUAAUAUUCAGAUAUCCCUGGUCGUUCGAGGAAAUUGUUGUCUAGCGUGCUUUCAAACUAUUACCUAGUUCGGUUGAUGGGCUAUUAGCUCAGUUGGUUAGAGCGCACCCCUGAUAAGGGUGAGGUCUCUGGUUCAAAUCCAGAAUGGCCCACCUUAAUUAGAAGUUAAAAAUGUCUAAUUAGAAAUCCUAAAUUUUUAAUUCGUAAUUUUUAAUUUGUAAUUUCCCAAAGCGUGGGGGUAUAGCUCAGUUGGUAGAGCGCUGCCUUUGCAAGGCAGAUGUCAGCGGUUCGAGUCCGCUUACCUCCACUCUUACCCAACCAACCGAAAACCACAACACCAAUAAAACUGACAAUCAAAAAUAAAGUCAAAAAACUGUUGCGCUUUUAGCAAUAUGUGAUAGACUAGAAAGAGUGACUAUAAAAGCUCAGCACCUAGAUUCAGCUACUAGCUAAUCGGAAUGCUGGUCUUCCAAGUCCAGCCAGAACCUUGAAAACUGCAUAGAAAUAAGUCAUCAAAAAGUUUGACUGACAUAGCCAGGAAUUUAUUCCUAGUGAAGUCAAAUCAAGCCGACAAUCAAACAAAAAAAGU
rnacentral:tRNA from 1 species